CACAAGAGCAGUGAUCCCCAGAUUUUCUCAACAAUGUAUCCCAUUUCCUGAAACACUUCACCACUGAUCUCCUUUUUACAAGAAGAAAAUUUUGGUGGACCGUUACCCAGCAAGGAAAGGACGUUUGGCUAUUAAGAUAGUUGCUGAGAAUUAUAAGUAGUUGUAUGCCGGUCUGCCUCCUGGAGAAGGAAGUAGCUUCUAAAGGCCGGAGUCUUUGCCUUUGACUCUAACAUUGCCCUAGCAGAAGUUUAUGGAAUUGAAUCCAGAUAUAAAUAAAUGAAAAAUGAAAAGUAAAACCAUGGGAAAUAGGACUAGUUCUCUGAAAGUGGAUGGACCUUCCAGUGAUUCAAACCUCUUGGAUAGACCUGGCCAAAUGUGUGAGGAGUGCAGUAAAUCUUUCCCUCUUGGCAGGGGUCAGCAGUUUGAUGGAGACUGUAAUCCUGUGAAUGUGCAGUUCUUAUAGACUGUGAAAUGCAAUAAUAAUUUCAGUGUUUUAUUACAGUAACAUUUAACAAAAUCAUGGCCAUGGAGGGAAUUAAACUUACACAGAAUGUCCAUAAUGAGACUCUGAGUGCUGUUGUUUCAGGUACGAUACAGAGUGCCUACUCUGAGUGGCACAUUAAAGAGACGAAAGCCAUCUUUUCCUUAUUGCUUUUAAUGUACAGAAAUGCUUGGAUUUAACUAUAAAUUACUUGUACAAUGACCUCAACUGUCUGGGAUACAGCAAAGCAAAGGCAGCUAAAACAGAUAUCAUUCAUUCUCCAAACUCCUAGGGGAGCUUCUUAGGCUUUUGCUUGGCACCUAGUGAUUCUUUCUGUACAUACAAUUCUAUCCUUCUUGAUUAUCUGAUCUC